ensembl:lncRNA
GCCAAAGCAGCGAGAUAUCAUCACCGUUUCAUUGGAUACAGAUCGCUGAGUGCAACGCCCUUCAGUUAUCGCACUGGGAGCGGGUGAUGGAGCUCGCUGCCAAACUCCAGGCCACCUACUCUCUCCACACUGGGCCGCAGCACACCACCUUCCGUGCGCGGGCCGCUGCGACCUCCCGACCCCGCUGGGCCGCAGUGCACCUCCUUCUGCGCUGGGCUGCAGCAACCUCCUGAUCCAGCUCCACGACUCCUGCCCCCGGCGCCACUGUGCCCAGAUUCCCGUGUCCCGCAGCCGGCGCCUCCGGCUUCCCGUGUUCUGCAGCCGGCGCCUCCGGCUUCCCGUGUUCUGCAGCCGGCGCCCUCGGCUUCCCGUGUCCUGCAGCCGGCGACUCCGGCAAACUGACCGACCUCCGGGCCGACCCCCAUAGGCUCCC